rnacentral:snoRNA from 2 species
UGCGGAUCGAUGAUGUAUUUGAAGAAACUGCGUUAUCUAUCUGUUAAUUCCUUUACCGGAUCUGAUGAUAAUAUUAUCUUCCUGAGAUCUUAU